UACGUAGGGUGCAAGCGUUGUCCGGAAUUAUUGGGCGUAAAGAGCUCGUAGGCGGUCUGUCGCGUCGGCUGUGAAAACUCGGGCCUCAACCCCGAGCCUGCAGUCGAUACGGGCAGACUAGAGUGCUGUAGGGGAGACUGGAAUUCCUGGUGUAGCGGUGAAAUGCGCAGAUAUCAGGAGGAACACCGGUGGCGAAGGCGGGUCUCUGGGCAGUAACUGACGCUGAGGAGCGAAAGCGUGGGGAGCGAACAGG
rnacentral:rRNA from 1 species